CCUACGGGUGGCUGCAGUGGGGAAUAUUGGACAAUGGGCGAAAGCCUGAUCCAGCCAUGCCGCGUGUGUGAAGAAGGCCUUCGGGUUGUAAAGCACUUUCAGUGGGGAAGAAAGCCUUGGGGCUAAUACCCUCGAGGAAGGACAUCACCCACAGAAGAAGCACCGGCUAACUCCGUGCCAGCAGCCGCGGUAAUACGGAGGGUGCGGGCGUUAAUCGGAAUUACUGGGCGUAAAGCGCGCGUAGGCGGUCUGAUAAGCCGGUUGUGAAAGCCCCGGGCUCAACCUGGGAACGGCAUCCGGAACGGUCAGGCUAGAGUGCAGGAGAGGAAGGUAGAAUUCCCGGUGUAGCGGUGAAAUGCGUAGAGAUCGGGAGGAAUACCAGUGGCGAAGGCGGCCUUCUGGACUGACACUGACGCUGAGGUGCGAAAGCGUGGGUAGCAAACAGGAUUAGAUACCCGAGUAGUC
rnacentral:rRNA from 1 species